GCCGCUGUAGCUCAGCCUGGGAGAGCGCUCGGCUGAAGACCGAGGGGUUGUGUGUUCAAAUCACACCAGCGGCACCA
rnacentral:tRNA from 2 species